rnacentral:rRNA from 1 species
CAGCCGCCGCGGUAAUACGUAGGGUGCAAGCGUUAAUCGGAAUUACUGGGCGUAAAGCGUGCGCAGGCGGUUAUAUAAGACAGAUGUGAAAUCCCCGGGCUCAACCUGGGAAUGGCAGUGGAUACUGGCAAGCUAGAGUGUGUCAGAGGAUGGUGGAAUUCCCGGUGUAGCGGUGAAAUGCGUAGAGAUCGGGAGGAACAUCAGUGGCGAAGGCGGCCAUCUGGGACAACACUGACGCUGAGGCACGAAAGCGUGGGGAGCAAACAGGAUUAGAUACCCCCGUAGUCCCUGUCUCUUAUAC